UUAUGUUGUGCUAUACAAUUGGAUAUAAUUUCCUACUGUUUUAUUUAAAUUAUUCUGAAGUGAGAGGGGCCUUCCCCAGUAUAGGAGGAUGGUUAUUUGGUCAAGUGUCUGGGAGUAGCUGAGCCCAGGCUAGAACCUCCAAACAAGUACUCGAGGUCCAACUGUAGAAGAAUGUAGGCUAGUCAAGCGGCCAAGACUCCAGACACAAAUGAGGCGCUGCAUUCGGCAAUCUGCCUUUCUUU
rnacentral:snRNA from 1 species